CCUGAGAAACCCGAAAGAUCGAACGGGGAGAUUCAUCGUCAGCGAUUCUGGUACUUGUACGGUUCGCGAUACCGCGGGGCUUCUGCCUCGUGGCACGCGUCCGUAUGAUUUUUUUGCCGGUAUCGUCGGCGUGCACUUCUCCCCUUGUAGGACGUCGCGACCCGUUGGGUGUCGGUCUACGGCCCGGGUGGGAGCCUGUCUCGUGUGCGCUUCGCGGCGCUUACGCGGGUCAGACCCCCGGCUGCCCGACCCUGCUGCCCGGCGGUGUAAUUCACGGUAUCUAGUCGCAAGUAUUUAAACUGCGUCCGGCCCGUUGCAAGCGAGGCAAGUGCUUUCCCGGAUGUUCGGAUCUAAUGCCGUCGCCGGGCCUUGCCAGCUGUUGGUUAACGGUGUCCUAGGACUGACUAUUGCAAUUAUGAUACCGGUCGGCGAUGUUACUG
rnacentral:rRNA from 1 species